rnacentral:rRNA from 1 species
AUUGAACGCUGGCGGCAGGCCUAACACAUGCAAGUCGAACGAGGGGCGGACGGGUGUGUAAUGGCUGGGAAACUGCCUGAUGGAGGGGGAUAACCACUGGAAACGGUAGCUAAUACCGCAAUCCUUCAGAUGUGCCCAGAGGGGAUUAGCUUGUUGGGGGUGUAACGGCUAACCAAGGCGACUACCUCUAGCUGGUCUGAGAGGAUGACCAGACACCCAGGGAAUGCGACAAGGUCAAGACUCCUACGGGAGGCAGCAGUGGGGAAUAUUGCACAAGUGGCGCACGCCUGAGGCAGCCAUGCCGCGUGUAUGAAGAAGGCCUUCGGGUUGUAAAGGAGUUUCAGCGGGGAGGCGUUACCCACAGAAGAAGCACCGGCUAACUCCGUGCCAGCAGCCGCGGUAAUAC